rnacentral:lncRNA from 1 species
AAGGUUGCUUACAUUAUUUCUUUAAAAUUUUCAUUGGUAGGUUAAUGAUGGUGGUAGUUUUCUGAGAUUGGUGUUGUUUUUUUUGUAUAUUGAAAUUGAAGAAACAGGUCUGUCCUCCUCCUGCUGCUGUUAAGGGAGUUCCAGUGGCUAGAAGAGUGGCAGUGGCCCCUAAACCUGUUCAGAAGAAAGUCACUGCAAAACCAAAGCCUGUUGAAGUAAUUGAUGUAAUAAGUUCUGAAGAAGAGAGCAGUAAAGAAAAGUCUGUGCUUAACAAAAAGGGAGGAGAGGUUAAUUCCAGGA